GAUGAACGCUGGCGGCGUGCCUAAUACAUGCCAGUCGAGCGAACAGACGAGGAGCUUGCUCCUCUGACGUUAGCGGCGGACGGGUGAGUAACACGUGGAUAACCUACCUAUAAGACUGGGAUAACUUCGGGAAACCGGAGCUAAUACCGGAUAAUAUAUUGAACCGCAUGGUUCAUUAGUGAAAGACGGUUUUGCUGUCACUUAUAGAUGGAUCCGCGCCGCAUUAGCUAGUUGGUAAGGUAACGGCUUACCAAGGCAACGAUGCGUAGCCGACCUGAGAGGGUGAUCGGCCACACUGGAACUGAGACACGGUCCAGACUCCUACGGGAGGCAGCAGUAGGGAAUCUUCCGCAAUGGGCGAAGGCCUGACGGAGCAACGCCGCGUGAGUGAUGAAGGUCUUCGGAUCGUAAAACUCUGUUAUUAGGGAAGAACAAAUGUGUAAGUAACUAUGCACGUCUUGACGGUACCUAAUCAGAAAGCCACGGCUAACUACGUG
rnacentral:rRNA from 1 species